CCUACGGGUGUCAGCAGUGGGGGAUAUUGCACAAUGGGGGAAACCCUGAUGCAGCGACGCCGCGUGAGUGAAGAAGCGCCUCGGCGCGUAAAGCCCUAUCAGCAGGGAAGAAAAUGACGGUACCUGACUAAGAAGCCCCGGCUAACUACGUGCCAGCAGCCGCGGUAAUACGUAGGGGGCAAGCGUUAUCCGGAUUUACUGGGGGUAAGGGGGGCGCAGACGGCGCUGCAAGCCAGGAGUGAAAGCCCGGGGCGCAACCCCGGGACUGCUCUUGGAACUGCGGGGCUGGAGUGCAGGAGGGGCAGGCGGAAUUCCUGGUGUAGCGGUGAAAUGCGUAGAUAUCAGGAGGAACACCGGUGGCGAAGGCGGCCUGCUGGACUGCAACUGACGUUGAGGCCCGAAAGUGCGGGGAUCGAACAGGAUUAGAUACCCGAGUAGUC
rnacentral:rRNA from 1 species